AUGGCUGACAGAAAGCUAACACUCUUGCUGGUUGCUCUGUUUGUUUCGACUGGUGCUGAAGGUCAGACCAUAACAGAGUCGGAACCAGCAGUUAGAAAACCUGGAGAAUCACACAGACUCACUUGCACAACAUCAGGAUUUAGUUUUACAAGCUCAGUUUGGAACUGGAUCAGACAGCCUCCUGGAAAAGGACUGGAGUGGAUCGCUUAUGUUUAUAGUACCGACAUCCGUUACUCCCAGUCAGUCCAGGGGAGAUUCACCAUCUCCAGAGAUGACUCCAGCAGUAAAGUCUAUCUACAGAUGAACAGUCUGAAGACCGAGGACACAGCAGUGUAUUACUGUGCCAGAGACAUACAGUGA